rnacentral:rRNA from 1 species
CAGGCUUAACACAUGCAAGUCGAGGGGCAGCAUUUCAGUUUGCUUGCAAACUGGAGAUGGCGACCGGCGCACGGGUGAGUAACACGUAUCCAACCUGCCGAUAACUCGGGGAUAGCCUUUCGAAAGAAAGAUUAAUACCCGAUGGUAUAAUCAGACCGCAUGGUCUUGUUAUUAAAGAAUUUCGGUUAUCGAUGGGGAUGCGUUCCAUUAGGCAGUUGGUGAGGUAACGGCUCACCAAACCUUCGAUGGAUAGGGGUUCUGAGAGGAAGGUCCCCCACAUUGGAACUGAGACACGGUCCAAACUCCUACGGGAGGCAGCAGUGAGGAAUAUUGGUCAAUGGGCGCAGGCCUGAACCAGCCAAGUAGCGUGAAGGAUGACUGCCCUAUGGGUUGUAAACUUCUUUUAUAUGGGAAUAAAGUUUUCCACGUGUGGAAUUUUGUAUGUACCAUAUGAAUAAGGAUCGGCUAACUCCGUGCCAGCAGCCGCGGUAAUACGGAGGAUCCGAGCGUUAUCCGGAUUUAUUGGGUUUAAAGGGAGCGUAGGUGGACAGUUAAGUCAGUUGUGAAAGUUUGCGGCUCAACCGUAAAAUUGCAGUUGAUACUGGCUGUCUUGAGUACAGUAGAGGUGGGCGGAAUUCGUGGUGUAGCGGUGAAAUGCUUAGAUAUCACGAAGAACUCCGAUUGCGAAGGCAGCUCACUGGACUGCAACUGACACUGAUGCUCGAAAGUGUGGGUAUCAAACAGGAUUAGAUACCCUGGUAGUCCACACAGUAAACGAUGAAUACUCGCUGUUUGCGAUAUACAGUAAGCGGCCAAGCGAAAGCAUUAAGUAUUCCACCUGGGGAGUACGCCGGCAACGGUGAAACUCAAAGGAAUUGACGGGGGCCCGCACAAGCGGAGGAACAUGUGGUUUAAUUCGAUGAUACGCGAGGAACCUUACCCGGGCUUAAAUUGCAUUUGAAUAUAUUGGAAACAGUAUAGCCGUAAGGCAAAUGUGAAGGUGCUGCAUGGUUGUCGUCAGCUCGUGCCGUGAGGUGUCGGCUUAAGUGCCAUAACGAGCGCAACCCUUAUCUUUAGUUACUAACAGGUCAUGCUGAGGACUCUAGAGAGACUGCCGUCGUAAGAUGUGAGGAAGGUGGGGAUGACGUCAAAUCAGCACGGCCCUUACGUCCGGGGCUACACACGUGUUACAAUGGGGGGUACAGAAGGCAGCUACCUGGUGACAGGAUGCUAAUCCCAAAAGCCUCUCUCAGUUCGGAUCGAAGUCUGCAACCCGACUUCGUGAAGCUGGAUUCGCUAGUAAUCGCGCAUCAGCCAUGGCGCGGUGAAUACGUUCCCGGGCCUUGUACACACCGCCCGUCAAGCCAUGAAAGCCGGGGGUACCUGAAGUACGUAACCGCAAGGAGCGUCCUAGGGUAAAACUGGUAAUUGGGGCUAAGUC